rnacentral:rRNA from 1 species
GGAUUAGAUACCCUGGUAGUCCACGCCGUAAACGAUGUCGAUUUGGAGGUUGUGCCCUUGAGGCGUGGCUUCCGGAGCUAACGCGUUAAAUCGACCGCCUGGGGAGUACGGCCGCAAGGUUAAAACUCAAAUGAAUUGACGGGGGCCCGCACAAGCGGUGGAGCAUGUGGUUUAAUUCGAUGCAACGCGAAGAACCUUACCUGGUCUUGACAUCCACAGAACUUAGCAGAGAUGCUUUGGUGCCUUCGGGAACUGUGAGACAGGUGCUGCAUGGCUGUCGUCAGCUCGUGUUGUGAAAUGUUGGGUUA